rnacentral:lncRNA from 1 species
AUAUUUAAAAUAUUUGUUAUUUAGACUUUUUUUUUAAGUCUCCAGGUUGAGGAGGACACAAAUAUAUCCUCCUAAACCUUCCAGUAAGCAAGCUGUGGCAUCCAGAUGAUCUCCUGGGUCAUGGAGGAUAAGGCUAAUCUCCUAGGUGUCUGGCAGACAGGACAGGCAAAUUCCCAGAAUGCCAAAAUAUACCAUCUGCUGCUGUUUGGCAUUGCCCUUAAGUCCAGAGUGUGGAAUAAGGAGCCAAGAGAAAACCCAAGGUAAGGCUGAGGAGGGACUGUUUCGUGUAGGUGAUUUAUUGGAAGGGUUGGAAGGAAACAUGGAAUGACAAUUACCUUUGGUUAUUGUCAGGUUAGUAUGAGACUUACAAGAAAAGCACUGCUCAGACGCAAUUACCAUUCAAGAUAAGAAAUAAGAGGAAAGGCUAGCACACUUAGCUUUUUAUU